GUUCCAACACCAAACCCUGACAUCCUUCUUUCUUCUUUAUCAAUUGCUGGAGUAACAUCUAGGUUCCACGUGAGGUGUUUAUGUUCAGGUAUAGAGGAGGUCAUAUCAAAGUUUCUGUUAUAAUUGGUAUCAGAGUCUGAUUAUGUGGAGAAAAGAAGAAGACACCGAAAUCAAUUGUCAGCCCAGAUUUCUGUAGCGCCCAGGUUUUCCCUUGUUGUCU
rnacentral:lncRNA from 1 species